rnacentral:rRNA from 1 species
UACGGAGGGUGCAAACGUUGCUCGGAAUCAUUGGGCGUAAAGCGCACGUAGGUGGCUUGUUAAGUCGGGUGUGAAAUCCCUGGGCUCAACCCAGGAAGUGCACUCGAAACUGGCGAGCUUGAGUACUGAAGAGGGUCGCGGAAUUCCCGGUGUAGAGGUGAAAUUCGUAGAUAUCGGGAGGAAAACCAGUGGCGAAGGCGGCGACCUGGGCAGAUACUGACACUGAGGUGCGAAAGCGUGGGGAGCAAACAGG